rnacentral:misc_RNA from 1 species
GACACCACUCGCCCCUGUCCUUCUUCUUCUUAAAAACGAGAGGAGGGAGAGGCGGCGGACUCUGCGUGUUCCGGAGCGCGAGCUCCGAGUGCACCGAACCUCGUGAACGAGACCUCUUACUUUAUAAUAUAAAUACCGCCAGGGACGUGGCAGGAGUUGUUGACGGCGUGGUUGCUCUCUCUUGCGCGACACGACUCUCGACUCCACGACGCCUGUUCCGUAGGUGCGGUAGAGAGGAUCUUUCCGGUCGCCUCAUCUCGCCAUGCACACACUGCCUGGCGAGCUUGAUACUACCCCAACUUUCG